ACAGUCACACAUUAGAUACCCCUGUAGUCCUGGCCGUAAACGAUGUGGACUUGGUGUUGGAAUGGCUCCGAGCUGCUCCAGUGCCGAAGGGAAGCUGUUAAGUCCACCGCCUGGGAAGUACGGUCGCAAGACUGAAACUUAAGGAAUUGGCGGGGGAGCACCACAACGGGUGGAGCCUGCGGUUUAAUUGGACUCAACGCCGGGAAGCUCACCGGAUAAGACAGCGGAAUGAUUGCCGGGCUGAAGACCCUGCAUGACCAGCUG
rnacentral:rRNA from 1 species